UCCCUGGAAGACUAGUGGUUAGGCCACAGCUCUCUCACCGCUGUGGACUAGGUUCGAUUCCUGGCCAGGGAA
rnacentral:tRNA from 1 species